rnacentral:rRNA from 2 species
GCAAGUCGAACGAUGAAGCCCUUCGGGGUGGAUUAGUGGCGAACGGGUGAGUAACACGUGGGCAAUCUGCCCUUCACUCUGGGACAAGCCCUGGAAACGGGGUCUAAUACCGGAUACGAGUUCGGGAGGCAUCUCCCGGACUGGAAAGCUCCGGCGGUGAAGGAUGAGCCCGCGGCCUAUCAGCUUGUUGGUGGGGUAAUGGCCUACCAAGGCGACGACGGGUAGCCGGCCUGAGAGGGCGACCGGCCACACUGGGACUGAGACACGGCCCAGACUCCUACGGGAGGCAGCAGUGGGGAAUAUUGCACAAUGGGCGAAAGCCUGAUGCAGCGACGCCGCGUGAGGGAUGACGGCCUUCGGGUUGUAAACCUCUUUCAGCAGGGAAGAAGCGAGAGUGACGGUACCUGCAGAAGAAGCGCCGGCUAACUACGUGCCAGCAGCCGCGGUAAUACGUAGGGCGCAAGCGUUGUCCGGAAUUAUUGGGCGUAAAGAGCUCGUAGGCGGCUUGUCACGUCGGGUGUGAAAGCCCGGGGCUUAACCCCGGGUCUGCAUCCGAUACGGGCAGGCUAGAGUGUGGUAGGGGAGAUCGGAAU